GGUUAAGUUAUUAAGGGCGCAUGGUGAAUGCCUUGGCACUAGGAGCCGAUGAAGGACGGUACUAACACCGAUAUGCUUCGGGGAGCUGUAAGUAAGCUUUGAUCCGGAGAUUUCCGAAUGGGGGAACCCAACUUGUUAUGCAAGUUAUCACUAGUUGAAUAUAUAGACUAGUUGAAGGUAGACGUUGUGAACUGAAACAUCUCAUUAGCAACAGGAGUAGAAAGAAAUAUCGAUUCCGUCAGUAGCGGCGAGCGAACCCGGAAGAGCCCAAACCAAAGUGCUUGCACUUUGGGGUUGUAGGACUACCGUUGUGGAGUUACAAAAUUGUAUGUUAGUCGAAGUGGUUGGGAAACCACGCGAAACAAGGUGAUAGCCCUGUAGACGAAAACGUACAAUCUCCCGUGUAGGAUCCUGAGUACGGCCGGACACGUGAAAUCCGGUCGGAAUCUGGGAGGACCAUCUCCCAAGGCUAAAUACUACCUAGUGACCGAUAGUGAACCAGUACCGUGAGGGAAAGG
rnacentral:rRNA from 2 species